rnacentral:lncRNA from 1 species
GAAUUGUUUGGGACAGCAUGCAGAAUUUUACAGCCUGCAGUGGGAUCCUUCACUGUGUCUUGUGCCCGCAGUGGGGAGAACUCUGCAGCCUUUCCAAAGGGCACUAAACCAGAAGCUUGGAAGCUCUGGAGCAUGCGUGUCCUUCCAGAAGAGUCUGAAAGAUUCUUCUUUUUUUUUUUUUUUUUUUUCCCCCCCAGUGUAAUUCUUUGCUUAUUCCUCUAUUUUGUGGUGAUGUUUAGUGGCAGAGCAGGUUUGGCCGAGGUGCUUGGUCAGGGAAAUUUCUUCCAAAUGCUCAAAGUCUCCACGUUCAUCUCCAGAACCUAAAGCUCCCAAAACAAACACACGCCCGCCUAUAACUGGAAUUCUGCCCUUGCCUGGGAGUUGUGGUGAAAAGGAAGAGGGGAAGAGUUGGAAGUUAGAGAAUAAACGUAAUAGCGCACGUAUGAGCUCUUAAUGGAGAGUACAGAUGGGAAAUGCAGGAAGAGACUACUUUAGCUAAAUCAUGGGCUCCUUAAUGACCUGAAAUUCAAAAACAGCGUAAAGGAACUGGAGAAUAGGUUGACGUAUUCCCAACAAGUGGCUUAAAUGGCAAACAGAGUUGUUUUGGCCAUGCUGGCAGGCAGGUGAGCAGGAGCCUUUGGGCAUCUCAUGAAGCCUCGGUGCCCCUGAGAGCUUUCCUUGCACCCCUCUGCCCAGGGAACCCCCUGUAAAAUAUUCUUGUUUUCUUUCUUUACUUGAAAGUUAAGUUUUCUGUUUUCAUCCUUUGCAUCUCACUAACAUUGCAAGCAUCUCUAAUUGAAUUAUUGCUGUUCUGUGUGAAGUGCUGAUGUACGGGGCUGGGAAGGACCACGGUCCCUUGGUGACUUUUCAUACCUGCCUUCCAGUCCGGGUGCUUGAAGACUUAUUAAAAAGAAAAAAAAAGAAAAAAGACAAAUGAAUACCAAGUUCUUCAGAAGGGAAAUGGAGACUGUAAGUGGUGUCUGGGGUGACAUCAACGUUUGGAUCCCCCCUCUUCCAGUCUGAAAUCAGGCUUAGGAAGGAGAUGAAAUAGCGUCCAGGAGUUUUCAUGACAGGAAGAGUCUUCAGACAUCAGAGGACUCCUUAAUUAUAGGCAGAGUGAUUUAUUCAGUGGUCGGCAUCUGUAUCUCAUUAAAAUAUGAAAUCCUUCACUGUUUCUCCUUUAAGUAUGAAGGAAUCCCUGUUUUAUCUUUUUUGGCUUAGCAGAGCCGUAUUUUAUGUCGGAUCGCCGCGGCGUACCUUCGAGUGAGCUGAGUUAUGUGCGGAUUAUUUAAUGCUGAAACUGUUGAGUAAAUGUAAUUCACCUGUGUCGCUUCCACAAGAACCUCUCCUCCUUCUGCAGUGAGGCAGGUUGGAAUUAAAUUGCAGGAUUAAUUUCAAAUUAUUUGGGGAAUGGGUGUAAUCAGUGGAAGUGAGCUGUUCUGCUUCUUCCUGCUGAGCCCUGAUCAACAAGUGAGCCUCGUCCCGAAGCAGACCAGUUUGAAGUAACUUCAUUGUGGUGCGGAAACAGUGUUUUGGUUGCAAGAGAUUGAGCAUGGAUGUAUGUGUGAACGAAUGCACGUGCAGCCUGGUAGAGAAGCGUGAAGCUGUGCGAGGUUCAGGCAAGACCGUCAGAGGUGAAAGCAGAGGCCUGUCCUACAUCAUGCCUUUGUUUUCCCCCCACCCUGCCGAAAGUAAGCCUCUGGGCGUGUAGUGGGACCAAUAAGGAGGGUUUUCAGAUCAAUUCUGGCAAGUUAUGGUGACCCUUUCAGGCUGUGUCCUCAUUUUUUCCAUCAUCUCAUUGUAACUUCUUGGAUUUUGAGGAGAGUCUGCACACAAGCAGAAUUUUACAACGAAUUAGAAGCCAUUAAGUGUUUUCAGCGUCCUUACAUCAGUUAGGCUUAGCACAGGGGCUUCUUACUCUGCCUGUUUCCAAAAUGCAUUAAGGCUCUCGGAUGUAAAUCAGGGGCAUCAAAGUGCUUUUUGCAUGGGGUUACUGGCUGGUCUGUAGUGCAAAUUGCUCUGAAUUCUCCCUAUGUGUUCAGUGCCAAACAUAAAUUACAUUUUAAAAACAAUAUUUUGCUUGGCCAGUGUGUUUUAAUCCAACCAUAUUCAGCAGCUGUGAGGUUAAACUCUGGCUUGCCAGUUGGCUUCAGGGCUUGCAAGAGAAGCAGCAGCAACAGGUUUCUCAGCCCUGCCUGUGAUGAAGGGGAAGAGGAGCAGCGCAGAGGUCCCCAGCUGAGCCAUGCACGCACUGGGCCGUGCAGCCACACAUUGAUGCUUUGGGGAUGUUGUGAUCUGCCCAGAAAUACUGCAAAGAGGGCAGAAAGCUGGGACUAAUAUUUGUAAGGAGCUGGAAAGAGGGCUGACUGCCAGUCGGUGGUGUUACAGUUGGCCCCCAGCUUUGUUCCUUGCUUGUCUUGGCUAGCUGCGAGACAAAUCUGUUUGUUCUGCCGUUGUUCAUGGAACCUGGCUGGCUGCAGAGUGAGCAGUGCUGAGCCAGAGGAGCCUUCAUCCCAGGAGUCAUCAGUGAGCAGGGACAAGGCUGGGGGGGAACAACUGGGGCCUCUGGGUUCCCAGUGCUCUUCCCUAAGCAUUUCAUGGAUGAGGAACAGCCACGGACUGAAGCCUUCUGCUGGCUGGGGCUGCCCGUAUGGGGCUGGGGGGAACCAGCGAGUACCUGGGGUAAGCUGUGGGGAGUUUUGGGGGAGCAGCUGUGGGAUGCAGCAGGAGGGAUAAUGGGCUGGGGGCUGCAGGGUGCUGAGCCUCCUGCAGGCAGCACGGAGCUCAGCCUGAGUCUCGCUCUUUAUCUGUGGAGCAGAAAUCAUGGCAAUGCCCAGCCCAGCAGAGCGCUGCGAGGAUAAAUCCACUGAGGGCUCUGAAGUGCUCAGAUAAAUACCUGCGAGAGCACAGGGAGGCACUGGUGCUUGUAUGAGGGAUAAGUGCUUUAUUAGUAAUGACCCGGAAAGGACAGAGCUACUUGCAGGUAUAGUAAGCACAAGCAAGUGCCUCCUGUAGUUGACAGGCUCUUGGUAUAAAUCAUUUGUGGAAUAAAUGACACCGGAGAAUUCAUGCUUCCUGGAGGAGAGGGAAAGAAGUCUCUGCUGAGCUUAAUAAAAAUGAAAAUUUGGUAAUGGAUAGGAUGAGUCUAGAGGGGGUCACAGCGUGCUUGACAGGAGCUCUAAGGUCACAGAUUAAGUAGG